rnacentral:rRNA from 1 species
AACGAACGCUGGCGGCAGGCUUAACACAUGCAAGUCGAGCGCCCCGCAAGGGGAGCGGCAGACGGGUGAGUAACGCGUGGGAAUCUACCCAUCUCUACGGAAUAACGCAUGGAAACGUGUGCUAAUACCGUAUACGUCCUUCGGGAGAAAGAUUUACCGGAGAUGGGUGAGCCCGCGUUGGAUUAGCUAGUUGGUGGGGUAAAGGCCUACCAAGGCGACGAUCCAUAGCUGGUCUGAGAGGAUGAUCAGCCACACUGGGACUGAGACACGGCCCAGACUCCUACGGGAGGCAGCAGUGUGGAAUAUUGGACAAUGGGCGCAAGCCUGAUCCAGCCAUGCCGCGUGAGUGAUGAAGGCCCUAGGGUUGUAAAGCUCUUUCACCGGUGAAGAUAAUGACGGUAACCGGAGAAGAAGCCCCGGCUAACUUCGUGCCAGCAGCCGCGGUAACAC